rnacentral:rRNA from 1 species
GAUGAACGCUGGCGGCGUGCCUAAUACAUGCAAGUCGAGCGAACAGAUGAGGAGCUUGCUCCUCGGACGUUAGCGGCGGACGGGUGAGUAACACGUGGAUAACCUACCUAUAAGACUGGUAUAACUUCGGGAAACCGGAUCUAAUACCGGAGAAGAUAUUGAACCGCAUGGGGCAAUAGUGAAAUACGGUUGUUCUGUCACUUAUAGAUGGAUCCGCGCCGCAUUAGCUAGUUGGGAAGGUAACGGCUUACCAAGGCAACGAUGCGUAGCCGACCUGAGAGGGUGAUCGGCCACCUGAGAGCUGAGACACGGUCAAGACUACUACGGGAGGCCCCAGUCGGGAACCUUCCGCAAUGGGCGAAAGCCUGACGCAGCAACGCGGCGCCAGUGAUGACGGUCUCCGGAUCGUAAAAAUCUGUUAUUAGGGAAGAACCAAUGUGUAAGUAAAUAUGCCCGUAUUGACGGUACCUAAUCAGAAAGCAACGGCUAACUACGUG